rnacentral:piRNA from 1 species
UCCCAUACAGUUUAGAGGGUUUUUUUCC